rnacentral:lncRNA from 1 species
CAAGUUGUUUUUAUCGUCUGACUUCACAUCCUUUGCUGCCUUCAUCACAAUCUCCUCUGCCAAGCUUUCUCUCUCUUCUGAUUUCACUUCCCUGGCUGCUUUCAUCACAGUCUCCUCUGGUAAGUUCUUUUCCUCCUCUAACUUCACAUCCUUUGCUGUCUUUACAACAAUCUCCUCCUCUAAGUUAUUUUUCUCCUCUGACUUUACAUCUUUUGCCGCUUUCAUCGCAAUCAACUCUGCUAGGUUCCCUUUCUCCUCUGACUUUACAUCCUUUUCCACAUGCAAGUCCCCAUUGUUUAAUAUCUUGAUGAAGUCAACUCCACUCAGUUCUUGCUCUUUUUUAACUGAAGCUUCAUUUAGACCCAGCGUAAAUGUCCCAUUGAUUGGUGACAAGUCUGGUGAAUGAGGCGGACUGAUGAGGGACACCCGGAGUUUGUUCUCUUCUACGUACCUGCCUUCAUCCUUUGCAAACUGAUAGACACACAAAUGAGAAAGCAACAAAAUAAUAAAAUUCGGGCUCUGUGGGAAGAAAAUCCGUACCAUGGCAGAUGUGAUGUCCUCGUCUGUUGUACCAGGAGGAACAACAGUUCCUUGGACUAAGAACUUGUCUUUGCAUAUCAUAUCCGUGGGAGCAGUACGUUGAGCUUGCAUUUUAACUACAAUUGACAUGACAUACACGGUAAGAAACUCAGCAUUACCACUGAAAUGCCAAAUAUCAAUCUUAGUGGUCUAAUAUGGUCUUGGUUUUAUUUACUGACCAGUACGGCAUGAUAAUCCUCACCAAAACAAAAAGAAGCCAAAGAACUGAACAUGUCCAAUAUGCUAUAUCACUAACAUAUUCCGCUCAUUUCUGUUCCACAAGAAUGCGAAAUCUUUGUAUGUAUGAUUUGAAUUUCUAAGCAAUGUGAAAAGAAACAUGUGAAAUGAAAAUUAGCAUUCAUGAAAAUCCUGUUGAUAUAUCUGUGAUUUUAAUACUCACUCCUCUCUAACGUCCAACUCACAAUUUCUAUAGGAGGAGAGAACCCCACAUCUUUAAUCAUAGAUCAAAUGUUUCAAAUAGUAAACAUUUGAUUAUUCGUUCUCCACAAUCAUGGCAUUUCAACAAUUAAAAUCGUAAACUUGGAAACUCCUAAUAACUUCUUGUGUGUGCUUGACUCAGAGACCAAUAUACCCAUCCUUACCUAAAACUCAGGCAUUUCAACAAGAUGACCAGACAUAUACACCAGUUUCACAGUAAAUGUCGAUAAGAUGGCAUACCAUUGAAAUUGCAUGAAGAUUCUGGGGCAAUAACUCCAGCAUUUGGUUGAACACAAUAUUUCUUUGGAGAUGUAGUUUUGACCUGCCACAGUAGUAGUUUCCAGUUUCAGAUUACUUCAUAUUCAGAUUUUGAAUCCUGGCAAUAUUAAGCUACCAAAACACUGUCAAAUGAUAGGUUAUUUUACCUUAAAAGCGACAUAUUGACGAGAACGAUUCACGAGUCGGAUGGUACACGUACUUUGCUUCUUCAGCUCAACUAGCAACGAGAGAAAUAGAUAAGCAGUAAUUAGUUCACAUUCCUCAACUUUGUGCGGGUUAACUUCAAAAAGCAUGAGAAGAAAAAGAAGACGCAAAGCAGUGACCAAAUAAUCUCGAUGCAAAAUUCAUGAUAGAGGAUACCAAACAAACAUCGACAAUUUCAGAAGCAUACAUGUGGAAUAAAAGGUUUGCUACUUUUGGCGAAAUACUUCAAUAUUACAAGUACUGUUCCCACUGUAUAUUCCUCCCGAAGCAGAUUUAUAGGAAGAAGCUAGCGUUGUGUAUCUAAUUCCCAGAGCCUUACAUAUAAAUUUGAGUUCACGAGGCUGAAUGUCCAGAAGCUGCCACUCCAUGUGCUCUCAGAGAAUCCAGAUUCACAACAACUCUUCUUAGCAUCAAGAGCCACCAAUGGAAUCCCCCGAUCUCCUCCUCUGCAAAUCGAGAAUUUAAAAUUGCGAAUAAGAUCCUGCCAUUGAUUAAAACAAUGGAAAACUUGAAAAGGCCAUCGACAAAUGAAAACAUCAGAUAAUCACACAUAAGAAUCGAGAUCAGAACAGCGCAGAUAGAGGACCGAUUCAUCUCUUUUCGACUGCCUAAUCCAUAGGAACAAAAAAGGAGCUCCGUUAUUCCUCGAUCAUUUCCAACCAUGACGACAGAACCGAGAUCACCAUGGACGCAACGAAACGCUAUACAAUAAAAAGUUCGCGAGCUUAGUAGCAAAUCGAUCCUAACUCAGAACAACCGUCCCGAUCACGCCAUCAACGCUGUCGUCAACUUCCAAGGUUAACUAUCAACAAUCCAGAAAACUCAACAAACAAAAUGCAACGUCUCCAUGCGAAUUCGAAAAAGCACAAUCGGAGGACGACGAGCACCGGUACCGACAAACUGCGAAGCUAAUAAAGCGAGCUCAAAAAAAGCACUCGGCAGUCAACGCUCAACGAAGAAGACUCCGUACAACGACUAAAAGGCGAAGAAAGCGCGUUCACCAGCGAGGAGAAUCGCAACAGCCCGAACUCGAAGUCGACCGCUUCGAAAACCGAGCCGAGACGGAAUCGCCGCACGAAUCUCGGAUCAAGCCGCGUCCGACUCGGAUUCCGACUCGCCUCGAACUCAGCCCGCUCGACAGAGCUCCCGAUCCCCGCGCGAUCACGAGCCGGGAGUAAAAAAAAAAAAUUCCAAACGGAAACCCGGCGGAUUACGGGGCCACCCGGCUCGAACUCGCCGCGAGGCGCGGGAAAGACGACGCGGUUUCCGAGGCGGCCGGCCGACGGACGGAGGCGUUGCGGCGGCGGCGACGAGGAGGCGGAAGAAGGACUCGAGAAACGACGCGGGCGGGGGAGCGGACGAGAGAGAGGGAGGGAGGGCGUGGGGAUUUAAGGCGAGAGCUUGCCGUUUUCUCUUCUUCCGCCGCGGGGGUGAGGGGAGGAGGAGAGGAGGAUGACGUCAGGCUUCGUUUGGUGCGAGCUGCUGCGCAGGGAGCGAGGACACCGAGAAAAUCCACAGUCGCAGAGAGAGAGAGAGAGAGAGAGAGAAGUUGGUGAUCGCUGACGCUGAAGUGGAGAGAGAGAGGGGGGAGACUGGGGAAAUGGGAGUGGAAGGCAAGUAAUGAAGACGGGGGAGAUUUUUUUUUUUUUUUUUUCCGGUCCGAUUUGCUGAGGGCGGUUGUACCGGUCGCGGUCGGUCGGUGGAUUUGGAUCCGAUUUAUGUCGUGUUUGACCACUAAGGUUGCGCUUAACAAAUUUUUUGAAAUAUAAAUUAAUUUCUCAAUUUCUAUUUCAAAAAUUGAAAAAUUCAAAAUUUUAGUUUUUAAUUUUUAUUUCAAGUCUAUUUCUGAAAUAAAAAUUUAUUUCAGAGAUAGAAAAAUCAAAUUGCGCUACCUAACAAAUUUCUGUUCCAAAUCUAUUCCAAAGAACAUAGAAACAGAUAAAUAGAGAAGUAUAAAUUUUAUUAAGUAAGCCCUAAAAAACUAAUAAAUAUUCUUAUUUAUUGGAUUUUUUUAGGGGGGCAAAUCGACAUAAAUCACUUGUGGACUUUGAGUUAAUAUACAAUAUCGUCUUUUAAUAUAUUCAAUAUCAUUCUUAAACUUAAGCCCAAUGUGUGACGCUGUUCUUAAACUUUUGAUUUGCACGACUUGAUCCUUAAACUUUUUGUUUGUGUUUGAUGUUGUACUUGGACGGCAUGAAAAUGGACGAAGUUUUUUUUUUUUUUUAUGUCAUUGACCAUUUUCAAUAUCAUUCAAAUAACUUACCAAAGGUUCUUGAAUUACAUUGAAUAAAUCAAAAAUUCAAAUACGCUAUUACAUAUUAAGAUAGAGUGCAGGAACCGUAUUAAACGGAUUAAAAGUUCACGAACGAUGUUGUGAUUGAGAGUAAGUUAAGAUGCAUGAUUUAUAGCUGAGAGCAUAAUUCGAAAUGCCAUCCUCCACUGUAGCUCUAUGUUCGUUGUCACGCGAAACACGUGCCAAGCAGAGACUGAAUAAUUGCAUAUCGUUUCCGUUUAUUUCAGUUAUAUGUUUUUCUUUGAUAUUAAUUUGCUCGAGAGGCAAGACGACACACGUUCUCUUUUGUUGUUCGGGGGACCAAAAUUGGAUGCGACGUUUUGGUCGUGAGCGGGACCUUCGCUUCUAGAAUUCGCAAUUUUGGGACUUGCCGAAAUUGAAUAGGAGGGAGGGAGGGAGGGAUUUUUCUUGGCAAUUUUUUUCGAGAAUAUCUUCUUUGAAUUUAAAGUCUUUUGGCCUGUCGCAGAACGAGGCUCGUUUUCAGAAGAUGAAUAGACCGGACGCGAUGAACAUGAACGUGUACGAGAGAAAUCGAAUUUUCGUUCUCUUCUGGAAGCCGCCCGAAUUUGACCAUUUCCCCUCUCCCACAUUCUUCGUUUUGUCAAGGCGUGCGUCGCAUCAGCAGAGUCUCGCUCUUGGAUAGCUGUAAGUUUUUUUUUUUCCUUUUUUUUUAAAGAAAAGAUUACGAUACCAUUAAAGCUAUCUUAAAUUUAGUCUGAAUUCUUGGACGUAAAAUUUCGAGAGUAUUCCACUUGAAUAGAGAAGAAAAACACUUAUCAAGGAACUAGGGGACCAUCAAGGGGAUUUGAAUGUAGACUCUCUUCACUUUUUUGAAAGUGACUAUUGCUAAGUAAGUAAAUAUAAUAACCUUUCACACCUAGAACGAGAUUUCGAUAUUUGUGUGCUUUGCAUAGUGUCUCAUGACCAAUUAGUUGACUAGUCAAUAUAUAUGAUAAUAUGUGAAGGAUUAUAAUACCAUUAAAGAUAUCUCAAAUUAAUACCCCGUGGUGCAUUCAUCAAAAAUUUAAUUUUCAUCUCAUAAAAAAUCCACACUAGUAACCCAAAACGAGAUCUAUCCUUUUGCUAAAAUGUAUACGUGUCGACAUAUGUGGAUUUUCAAACGUUGGAUAUGUUAUUCUUUGCAAUGGACUCUUUGCCACUUCAUGUCAACGUGUAUGCGUCUUAUCAAAGUACUGGGGGGAAUGCUAAAGAAUGAUGGAUUUAGAUCAAGAGUGCCAGCUUUGGUUUUUUUGUGAGACUGAGGUAAAUGUGUCGUAGGCAUUGAUUUGAGAUUUUAAUGGUAUUAAUUCAGAAAAUAAUUAUUGCAUCUAAUGUCGAGCUUGAUCUCAAUAAUUAACAAUAUUUAAAGCCAAUUGGUAGGUCAUUGUAUUACUCUAAUGCAUGUCAUUAGGCAGAAAAUCACCUCUCAUUUUAGGUCGCAAUGCAAUAGAGAACCAUAUUAUAUGUGCUGAACAAACAAAAUGCGCGAGCCGAUAAAAAAAAAAAAAAUGCGAGAGACUUCAUUUAUAGACUUUUUGGAUCAUAAUGACGAGUUUUGAUAGAAUUACUUUUUUUUAUAUGGAAUAUAAAAUGUGACCACAAUAGACAUGAUUAAGGAUAACUGAGACUUGACUCUUUUUGCUUAAAGUGACCGCAAGUAAUGGGAAAUGAUCGAUCUUUUGAUAGACCCCUAAAGGGAUUGCAAUCAAUUUGAAGGUCAAAAGUGCAUUGGACCAUGGAAGAAUGGAAGCUUCCUUUUAUGCAUGGAGGUGCCCACCUAUAUAUAAAUAUUUAUUUUGGUGGAUUUGAUUAAAUAAGAUAAUGACUCGACUGCAUUCAUGAAAUCUCCAUUUAUUUCGUGAAAAUUGAAUAACAUGAAAAGCAUCUUCUAAAGGCCGAUCACUUGCAAAAAUAUUUAGAUAUAAAUUAUUGUUGGUAAUAACUAUAUUUUUAUUGACUAAUUAUUUCAUAUAAUAAAAGUGAAUAAUUUAAAAAAUAGUAAUUUUUUUCUAACUAUUUAUUAUUCAUAAAACAAAUGGAACGUGAGGGUACUUUUGAGCUCGAAGCCCAUUUUGGAUGAUUAUCAAUUAUUGGAAAAAUAAUUAGGAACACGUGACAGUGCCGUGCUGCUACAUUUCCCACGGGACAUUAACUUUUAAAAAAAAUAAUAAUAUAUAUUUUUUAUUUGUUUUAUUGAUAUAGACGUGUCCCACUUAUUUGAAAUCUUUUAUUAUUAUUAUUAUUAUUAUUAUUUUGUGAAUAUGUGGCCGUGCGUUGUCCCCCGUAAAUGUCACUUUUUAUGAAUGUGGCCCCCAACUCUUUUAAGUUUUUGUUCUCUUGCGCUUGCAAAUCACCUUUUUGGUGUGGCUCUUUUCCUUAAACAAUGUCAUGAAGAUCGACUUUUCUUUUCCCACGAUGAGGACGGUGGAAAGACCCUUUUGUUUCGAUUUCGGAAUUUUCCUUCUCUCGAAAAAAGUGAGAUCGAAAGUGAGAUCGGAUGAACGAUGCCAAUUUCAAGUAUUUAUUCACUUUGUUACAUCAAAUAGGACAACUUUUGGCCGUUUACUAAAAGAGAAUAACUUAUUAUAUUCUAUAGUGUGAAAUCCACGCUUCGAAUAUACUAUUAAAUAACAAUUACAUGUAGAUUAAGAGAAAAUACACUGCAAUUUCAAUGGAUUAUAUAUAUAUAUAAUUACAAAAGAGAGAGUUUAAUGGAUAAUGUAGAUUAGUCACUGUCACGGCAUCAUGUGAUUGUUUUAGUUAAUAAUGCAAUACCGAUUUUGAUGAGUCUAACGUAUUAUGUGGAUUAGUCAUUACUGCAGCAUCAUAUGGUUGUUUUCAUUUAUCUUUUUCUAGUGCAAUGCCGAUUGUGACGAGUUUAAAGCAUGCGUGUCGGUUAAUAAAUUAGUGCGAUCCCAGUUUUGAUGCGAGAUUAAGGCACGCCCCAGAAAAAAAAACAAAGAAGACAUAACGUGUGGAAUUCACGAAAAGGACGCGAAACCAACCAUUUGAUAAUGCCUAUGAGUUGGAGGGAGGCAGGAGGAAGCAAGCAAAAUUGAAGAGAAAUGGGCCAUCCGUUCCGGGAAAAAACCCACCUUCUCAAGCUAUCAUCAUCCCAGUUCAACUGCCGUUCUCGCCUAAUCAAUGGCGGCGUGGUUUAGGCCUUCUCUGGCCACAAAUCUUUCCCACUUGAAAGCGACAUGCCAUCCAAAAGGCACCUCCCCCUAUCUCGAUCUCGACCUUGACCUCGAACUCGGCCUCGACGCGGCUUGAGGAAGCUGUUCGGGGCAAAUCUCGGUGUCGGCUGCUGAGGACUAGAGAUCCGAGGUUAUGCUCGUUCUUACUUUCGGUAAUGAAAUGUUGGUCGGAAAUUCGAAUGUAUGCUCGAGAUGCGGAUGCAUAUUCAUGGUUGCAAGUAAGUUAGCGACCUACCCCGGUUCAUUGCUCAACACCCUUCAGCAUGACGACACUCAUGUUCGAUGGACUUGUCUAGGAAGCACACCUGGAGUAAAAUGAACGGGUUUGUCGACAUUCCCUUGUGCCCUCCUCGACCAAUAAGGUUUUUUCCAUGCACGUUACAAUUCAUCGAUCGGGAUGAAGUGAUGUGACAGGAUCGACAGUAAUUGUUCGGUUUUCCCGACGUGAUUGCUGCGAUGCCUUCCGAUUCCGGAAAGAAGAGAACAAAGCAAGACUUGAUUGACUCGGCGACAGCGUGUAUCAUCGAUGCCGCAUCAAAAUUGACCUAGGAUGUCCUUAGUGCGCUAAAGAACACUUCCACGAUGAGCUCCAUUUCUCUGCACUGCAUGUGUAGGCCCGUGACGUCGGUUUUUAGUUCUUUCUUCAUGGGCUUUUUGCAGCCCAUGAAAUGGAAUGGCCGGCUGCUCGUGGGCCCACAUACUCCCAAGGCCCGCUCAUCGAUAGUGGGCCAGCGGCCCAAUCAAACCAGCUAUCAACUUCAUCACUCUGGGCUUGGUUUAAGCCCCGAGUCACUAUAAAUGAUAUCAAAGCAUGAACGUCGAAUGAAAUAUAUCACGAUUUGAUGGAGCAAUGACCUAGGUUGCACGGACAUUCUCCGGGACUCUUCGUAUCGUGUCCGACACUCCGGCACGUGUCCAACAUGCGGUCAACUGCUUUCGAUAUGAUCCGACAUGAGAGUCGGAAAUUCCGACACGUGACCCCAACAUGCACGGGUUAUUUUUACAAUUUUUCAAAACUUUUGGGGUCUAAAUAUAAAUAUAUGAAAAUAAUAAAAGCUAAAACAAAUUUCCAAUACUCGUUUGAAGAUGUUGGGGUGGUUGAAGUUGAAAAUUUUUCACUUGAUGAGCCGAAGAUAAGUCCUUUUUUUUUUUAGAAGAAGAAGUGAAUAAUGUGGAUGAAUGACUUUUUGUUAUAUUUAAUGAUGGAAUGUUGAUUUUUUUUUCUUAUUGUUAAAUUUUAAAUUUAAUAAUGUAACGUGGAUUACUUGUUUUUUCCUCCAAAUUUAAUGGAUUAUUACAAUGAAAUGUAAUUGAAUUUGUCAAAUUAAAACAAUGAAUGAUAUUAACAAAUGUAGGAUUAAUGUUUUUAAUAUAGAUUAAUUCUAGGCUCUUUUCAUUAUUAUUUAGUUAUUUAUACAUUUAUAUAUUAAAAUAUUUAUUUCAUAUAUAACGUGUCGAAACGCGUUGAAAUUCUCUAUUUUUGAGAAAUAAUGUGUCGGCGUGUCUUGUCAUGUUAUGUCGUGUCGCAUAUCGUAUGUUCGUGUCGGUGCAACCUAAGCGAUGACUAGGGAUGAUUUUUACAAUGAUUCAACAUAGCCAUCCAAUCUGUUUGUAUUCGAUGGGGUGAACAUGGAAUCCGUGUUGUAUGCUUAAUCCCUAGAAUCGAGCACAUAAUUACGACGCGAGAGUGUAGUCAUCACGUACGAAAUUGGCACAUUUUUUUCGGUCUAACCAUGCCCCCAACUAAAAAAGGUACUCAUAAGAUGUUUUUCAUUUUUGUUGAUGCUCGACUGUGACAAAAGAAAAAUUUAUACGUGAUGGACAUUGGUAUUUGGCGCAAUUUUUCUUUUUGGAAAAAGAAUAUGAUGUGGUAUAUGAUAUUUCUACCCAUGUUCUUGUUGUAAUAUGGAGAAUAAAUGACAUAAAUGGUUCAUGAAUUCCUAAUAUGGUCCAUACUUUUAAAUUUAUUUAAUAUAGUCGUUGAAAUUUAGAUGGGCGCGUAACAUUGUUUUUAAAAUUUUAAUUUAUUUGAUGUGGUUUUUAAACUUUUAGUAGGUAUUCAAUUUAGUUGUUGGGCUUCAUGGAAACGUUUAAUAAUAUCAAAUAUUUUCAUGUAUAAAAUUAAAUAUAUAUCAAAAGUAUAAAAAUUAUAUUAAAUAAUUAAAAGUUUAAGGAUGAUUUUUGACACUGACUUAAAAUUCUUGGGGUCACGUUUGACUUUGUGUCGCCAUCCUUAAUAUGGAAAAGCGUGGGACACACGUCAGUCAAAUACAUCCCGGGCCCGCGAAAUCACGGAUGUCCCAUGCGGGACCCGUCAAUAUCAAGGGCCCUGAUGCGUCGGGGGCUGACGUGGCAUCGCAUCGCUCCGCCAAAUUUUCUCCUCCAGCACAAAUGGCGCCAUCCGCGGCAGGGCAGGAGGGAAAUCGCUGGGCCCCAUCUUUUCGCCCGUUAAAACAGCUCGUCGCCACGGCCUUCUUCGUCUUCCAUUUCAGUUCAGCUUUUUUCCCCCCCCACCCUCGACGAUAGGAUCUUCGCGUUUUCCGAUCCCGCUUUAACCGGGCGAAACCCGACGGAUUCUCAGACGAUCGAUCGAUCGAAAAUGGUGUGAACGACGCACGAAUCCCCCCGAGCGUUCGACGGGAUCGAGGCUGACGCAUCGGUCGUCGCUUCUCCUUUCGAAAAAGUAAUGCUCGUCGAGAUGAUUCGGACCUUCGUUCUGCCGAUCGCGUCCUCGUCGAAAUCGGCGUUCGCGCCGCCACCUUCGCGGAUUGCGUUAGCGGGAAGGUGGCUUCCCGCUCUACUUUAGCCGUCGGUUCCUAGCGUUUCCUGACGAUUUCUUGCUAUUUCGCGACGUUCGCGAGCGAGAACUGCGUGCAUGAGCCGCUGUUUGGUGUCAUUCGAUGCGUGAUUGAGUCGAGUUUUGCUUCCGUGUGACCGAUUCGUUCGAUGUAGAUGGACCGGAUGAGGCCUCUGUACGUCAGACAGCAGAGCAACCCUGGGACGCCGGGAGGGUCGGCGUCCCCGACCAGGUCGCCGCUCCACCGGUCGCCGCUUCACCGGCACGCGCGGUUGGGCUCCACGGGGUACAUGAAGUAGGCGCAGACGACAGCCGCCGCCCAGAGGCUGGCCCAGGUGAUGGCGCAUCAGCUCGGCAACGAUGAGGACGACGAGGAUGAUGACCUCUCGUAUGAGUACACUCCGGCCAGCGGCGUCGGAAGCAUCGGGCUGGCCGGUGGACGUGCUCCACAGGGUCGCUCGCCGAUGGUAUUCACUUGGCUGGACUAUUUAUGUCGAUUGGAAUUCGAUAUUUGUGGUAGUUUUCCAGCUGUAUGAGCGCAGUUCUUAACUUUUCUUUAAAUGGUACUUGGAUCAUGAAAUUAGUCUUCGAAGAAUCGACUUAGCAUAUUGAAUGAGUUCAUCAGAGAAGAUGCCGUCGAUCAACCGUCAUUGGCUCAGAUAUCGACUCCUACUCGGUCGGUUCAAUCUGCUGCUGCUGAACAAUCUCAACCGAGCCGCACGGUGGUUGUUGGCAGGUCUCCUCAGUCCGCUAACACAGAGCAACCAUCACUGGCUCGUAUAUCAACUCCAAUUCAAUCAUUUCAUUCUGCCACCGCCACCGCCGCCGCCGAACAAUCUCAACCUACUCGUUCCGUGUUGGCGGGCAGGUUGCCCCAGUCAGCUAACACAGAACAACCAUCAUUGGCUCAUAUAUCAACUCCCACUCAAUCAUUUCAUUCUGUUGCCGCCGAACAAUCUCAUCCUACUCGUUCGGUGGUGGUGGCGAGCAGGUCAUCUCAGUCAACUAACCCAGAACAACCUCCAUCCGCUCGGUCAACAUCAGGUAGCCGUCCAUUUUUAGGAGUUAAAACAGUGACUAUGGUGCCUGCUAGUGUCCCGAUAUCUUUAAAGCCAUCCUACUCUGCCAUUCCAACUGAACUCCAGUUGAACAUCGCAGAGACAAAAGGUAUUACUCAAAUCCUUGCUAGCAAAUUUAGCCACUUAGAAAGCUUUAUUACCGCUUUCUUCCUCAUUAAUUAGAGAUCAAAUUCAGGGUCAACACGAGUUUUCUCAAAUGUUUUAUGGAGGAAAGAACUUUUAUUUGUUCGGGGUACCCUUGUUUGGCUUUUGGAAGCACAGGCAUUGCGAUGUAAGCAACCGCACAUUGGGAUUGGGAAACUAGAAACAACCGCGCAUUGAAAUAUUUCUCGCUGUCAACUGAGAACAAUUUUUGACAUGUCGACAAAAAGAAUACCCUUAACUACUUGUUGCCCAAUUUGCUGUGUUGCUGUAAUAUUGUUGCUCUAUGUGUAUGCUUCCAUUAAUUGAAAGUUCUUGCGGUACUUUUAUUAGUGGGUUUUAGGGACUAUAUAGAAGAUAUUUGUUCUUCAUUGUUUAUAUUGUUUGAUAUAGUUCAUAAGCCAAAUGGCUGAUUUCUUUUGAUUUCAUCCUAUCAGCAGAUUGUCUGUGGAUUGGGAUAACGUGAGCACAAAAGAGACUAGCAAUCACCGAUCUGCUUCUGCUUUACAAGAUGAGGUAAGGACGUAUUAUGGGUUGCACAUAAACCAAGGCAGAAUGCAAUUGUUUAACACAUCCGGGCUAUACUAGAACAUCAAUAUGCUUGUCUGGUUUGUUUCUUCAGCUUGAUAUGCUACAAGAAGAGAAUGAGAGCUUACUUGAAAAGGUAAUGUUGCUUGUUCCUUUUCCCCCUAUCGACUUAUCUUUUUAGGACCGAGUCAAUUAAGGUAAUCUUAAGAGUAAAGUGAAUGGAAAUAAUACUAGUUAUCAGGCAUUAUUUCAAGAUGCUGCAGUGCCAGUAAGUUCGAAAUAUUAAAGUGGUAGUUCUAUCGUGCAGUAUCUUUAAGUACAAUUUCAGUCAUCGUCAAGUUGUAAGUACUUUAGGACUAUGAUAAAUAUCCAUGGGGUUGUAGUUCUAUUCUUUAUUUAUUUCUACUAGCUCCAUCUUGAUGGUAGAUACUUGCUCUUGCCAGCUUCAACGUGCAGAAGAGAGGUGUGACGAAGCAGAGGCUAAAGCUUGGCAGCUUGAGAAGCAGGUGUGGUACUUUGUUCACUCUAUUUUGUGUAUUGUCAAUGACCUCUUGUAUAUAUCUCAUGGGAUCUCUUUUCUCAGAUUUCUUCUCUAGGUGAAGGGGUAAAUUUGGAAGCUCGUCUUUUGAGCAGACAAGCGUGUCAUUGUCUUCGGCGUUGUUUCUUGAUGAUGCCAAGUUUUAUGCUUUCUAACAUUUGCUUCUUGAUAGCUCUUCAGAAAGGAAGCAGCCUUGCGGCAAAGGGAGGUCUGUUUUCUACCUUGCUUAGCUUUUCAAGCACUUAUAUUUGGCAUCUUUUCUUUGUUUUUGGGGCACCACUCCUGAAGAUGGAUGAUAUUGCAUGCUAUCACAUCGAUCAACAUAGAUUGUCCCGGGCAUGAUUAUGCUUCCUAAAGCAGAGUUUGUGCCAUCUCAUUAUUUUAGAGACUCUUUGUCUGUGGGGAAGACACGUAAGGACAUACACACGAAUAAUGACAAUGCAGAAACGUAAACGAAGCAAGCGAAAGGAAGCCAAGAAGAUGGAGAGAUAUUCUAGACCGAGAUUACUAAGAUAAUUGAAUCUUCAAUUUUGCUUGAUUUUUUACCAAGUCACUUUGCCAAGAAGAAAUCCAGGCCGGGGGCAGGGGGUGCAAGAACAAAAAGAUCUACUUAUGGAACAUUAAGAGGAACUCUGACGAUAUGUAGGGUAACCCUGUAUAGAAUGUUCUAACUCUGCUGUGUGUACUCUCCGCCAGGUAAAUAGAGGAAGAGCAAUUGUGGGGAUUAGAUCGUAAUGGUCAGACAUAAGCAUUUGUUUACUUAAUGCUAGAACUAGAAACUACAUGCCGAUCCUUUGCUUGAUCAACAACAUCUAGAAUGUUAUGGCUUGGCAUGUGGAUGAAUGCGGAUGCAGCACUCGUUAUUUUUGUUCAGCUUUCAAAAUCUCGCAGGAUAUGGUUCUAAUCUUGCAAAAUAUUAUCUCAGUAAUGAAUCAUUCAGUUUGUACAUGAGGGGGCUUCUUUCUUCUUCUGUUUUUUUUUUUUUUUUGGAGGGGUACGGGGAGGACCAGAGCCUUCAUUAACCAAUACUGAAAUUUUUGUAGGCUGCUCUAAGAGAUGCGGGACAGACUCAAGGAGGGAAAACACAAGAGAUUGCUGCUCUUCAAAUUGAAGCUGAGGUAUUCUCAACUUCCAAUACACAUGCUACAUGUUAGUUACUUCUAGUUCUUGGAGCAAACUGAUGAACUUAUUGAUCUUUUUAUGUGCUAAAUCUUGAGUAGAUAGCAAGGGAUGAGGCAACAUCUGCAUGGGAGAAGCUUCAGGAAGUUCAUACAAUUUCUCAGAGGACCAUACUGACCCAAGAAGAAAUGGUUGUCAAGUCAAGCACUUUUCAUGUGUUUUAUGUUAUUCAUAUAAAUAACAUUUCCUGCCAAUUGUCAUCUUAGGAGGAAGUGGUCCUAAGAGAUGUUGGCUUGCUCGGUACUGGAGUCUAUGUAUUAAAUACGGUAAGUCAUUCUCGUAACUGAGAACAUACCAGUAAAACAACCAAAAAAAUAAAAAAAGCACAUAAUUGAUCUGAUAAUUUAGGAGCAAUUUGAAGGAUCCAACAAAUAGAGUAUUCCAGUAAAACAACCAAAAGGUAAACCCAGCUUAAAAAUAUAAAAAAUGGCAGCCGACAUGCUUCCGCAUGUUAGAAUUGGUGUUCGACUUUUACAGAGAUAUCAUUAAUUCAUGAACAGCAACAACAGGAAACAGGAUCGAGCCGGGUACAAGUCUAAACAAAACACAAUCCACAGGGUACACAUUGACAGUUCAAAAACAAUUGAAUCCUCCUUCGACCCUGCUGAACAAAUUCUUUGAACAUCCCAAGAUACACCAAUCUGGCGAGUCAUCUCUUGCGCUCGGAAAGGCCAUCAAUCACCUCCAUUCCUCAACUACCGUAAGUUCGAUCCAUCGGUAACUAUGUUUCUAAACUCUUUCACAAGUAGCUGUGAAGAUGAAGAUGAAGAUGAAGAAAUGAAUCAAGAUACAGAGGAAUCAGCAAAUGAAAUACUUCGAAUCACUCUAUUUCAAUAUGAUUGUAGUACAAAGCUUCUGUAUAUCAAUGACAGCUUAUGAAUACAAAUCCUCUGUUUUACAUCCCCUGUUUUCUAUCUCUCUAUCUCAGCACGUAUCAGCUAUAUAAUGCAGAGCAUCCAUUGAUGAUUGCUCUCUAAGCGCUCUCUCUCUCUCUCUAUCUUUCUUCUCUCUUCGCUUCCUUAUCCAUGGAAGAAGAAGAAGACUACUUAUAUCAGAAAAGAACAACAAACUGAAUACAACUAACUGUUUCUUAAUUUGUUUCACCACUCUAGACCGAAUAACAGCACGUGUGUCAGUUGAGAUCUACACGACUUGGCGAUCCACAUCUUCUUUAUUUCAGGCUUUCUUAAUCAUUGAUAACGAUCCAUGUCUGCCUUCAUCACGAGCUCUUCACCGUUGAUCAUCAGCUCAUUUUUUCCCACGUGUUCUUUGCUUCGCUUUGCUGCUCCGUAUAACUCUUUCUCUUCAUUGUUCUUUCUCUUCCAGCAUCAGUGUUAUCUGCUGAAUUAUAGUGGCUGAGUGAGACUUUGUUCCUAUAUGCUUAACAGCAGCGAGCAAAAGACUUUACACAAACGCAUUUCCAACAGCCUCACUAACUCGUUGCGGAGUCCGCAAAAGAUUAAGCAAACGAAAACUCCGCCCGAUGGCAUCGCCGAUCGAUCUCCCCGCAACCCACCGCUACAAUCAAUUCAGCACUAUGCGGACGAACCGAAACUCAGCAGAAUCUAACCGCGAAACCUCCCUUCCACGCGCAAACGAAGCGGGAAGAGAAGAGGAGGGCGGGGAAGAAGGAGAAGAACGAACGGCAGAGGCGACGGCUGUACCUUGGGGCGCUCGAGGGUGAUGGGGCGGAACCUGGUGGCGAAGCUGUCGGCCAGGAGCACCGCCUGGAGCGGCACGCGCGCCAGGCCCUGGCCGGGGCCUUCUUCGGCGCGCCCAUGUCUUCCUUUCUCCGCCGCCUCGAUAAGAGAGAGAGAGAGAGAGAGAGAGAGUAGCAAGUUCGAUGAGUGGAGUUUUUUCCUGCUCCGGUUAGCCCGAAUGAGAACGGAUCCGAGUGAAGCUCAUUUUUAACCCGGUCAACAAAAUUUCUCCUCUUGGACCCAAAGAAAAAAAAAACACAAAAUUUCUUCUCAUUCAACAAAAUAAUAAUAAAAACCACUGAGAUUCGCCCUAGUCGCCAUUCUUCCAACAUGGAAGGGGGAGGUGAGGGGUUUAAAUCCCCACCUUCUCAAGGGGAAUGGGGUGGGGAUGCCUAAGUUUUAGGAGUGGGUUUCGACUCCCACACCUUGCAAGAGGCAGGGUAAAAGUCUAAGAGUGAGUGUAACGUAGAAAUAGAAUAGAACUAAAAAAAAAAAAACAAAAUAAUAAUAAUAAUAAUUUCUAACCUACGAGAGAUGCUAUUGCUAUUGCUAUUAUUAGUUUUGUCGUGAUUGAUCAAGAUCCAUGAUCCAACUAAUUCGAGGUAUUCCCCUAUUGUGCAAACUCGAGUGUAGUCUUGAACAGGCUGAUUUAAUCUUAGUUUUUGUCCGAACUCGACCCGAUGCUCACCCCUCUAACAAUCGCCCAUGAGGCAUUGAGCCACAAGCAUGCCAACACGGAACCACGUGGAAUUUCAGGAGGUGAAAGAGAAAAGUUAAUUCAUUAACUCUUCGCAGCCGAUAUAAUUAUACAAAUGAUCCAUGAAUUUUGGUAAGAUAUGUAAUGUGAUUUAUAAACUUUUGAUUUAUUUAAUAUAGCUCAUGAACUUUAUCUAGAUAUGUAAUACCAUUUUAAAAUUUUUAAUUUGUUCAAUAUAAUUCAUAAUUCUUUGGUAAAUGUUCAAUUCGAUCUCUAGACUAUAUGAAAAUAUCCAUUGUUAUUAGCCUAUUAAUUUAAAUUCUUCAUAAUAUUGAAUAUUUUUAUGUAGUCUAAAAAUUAAAUUAGAUAUAUACAAAAAAUUUAAGGACCAUAUUAAAUAGAUCAAACGUUCAGAAAUUAUAUUGCACAUCAAACUAAAAUUUUAAAACCAUAUUACAUUAAUUAAAAGUUUAAAUACCCCAUUACACUUUUGACCAAAGUUAAGGGCUUAAAUUAAAUAUCUUGACGUUUUUUUUUUUUUUUGGUCAGAAAAAAUAUCUUGACGUUGAAAGAGAGUUUUUUUGUUUUGAUUCUUCAGGGACCAUUUGCGCUUAGUCAUCCAAAGUACUAAACGACGGCUAUUGUAAAGCUAUGCUUGACUGAAAGUUCGAGGUUUUUUAUGUUCAUUGAAAUAGAGUCGCGUAGAAACUCAAUGUCUUAUGUCUGUUUACAGCUGUUACCAAUCACAGAAAGCUCGUCAUCGAUUCACAUAUCACUGAAAAAAACCCGAGUUCAUAGCGGGAUACAUUUGACUUGCUACCAUUCCGUUCUCAGGAUCCAUCACCACCGCUAACUAGUUCCUCUCUCAAAAAUACUCUGUCAUGAGUGCUCGAUCUCCUGUCUUCCAUAACCUUUGCAAUGGUAGCUUGAGCCUACAAAGGAUCCACAUGAAACUUCAUUAAUCUGUCCCUGGAAUUUAGGCAAUGAAAGUAUACCAAACGCCCGUGGUUCAAUAUCGACAACAAGCAACAACAUUCUAUUAAAAUGAUUACCGAAUUGCCAAAAUCAAUAUAGCAAUGCCCGUGGUUUAAUAUUGACAACAAGCGACAACAUUCUAUUAAAAUGAUUACCGAAUUGCCAAAAUCAAAGUAGCAAUAGGACCGGGUCAUAUUCAGAAGAACCAAAUCAGCCAAUUUGAAGUUAUAGCGACUCUAUUCCAUACAGUAGUCAAAUGGUAAGUACAGGAACACACGAACAUACAUGGACUACUCUGCGCUGAUGCAGACAUGAGUAAACACUGCCAUGAACAUAUUCAUUCAAUCUUGGAGAAGUAAACUCCAGCAAACAAGACGAAUGAAACCAGAAUUUUUAGACUAACCUCGCUGAGUCUUGAUUCAAGUUCAUUUAGUUCGACUUUAUCUCCUCCACAUCUCUGGAUAAACUCACUUCCUCCAUAUUUGUGGUCACAAAUGGCUGCGACGCGACGUCCUUUGCCUUCUCCACCACAAUCUCCUCCGCCAAGUUGUUUUUAUCGUCUGACUUCACAUCCUUUGCUGCCUUCAUCACAAUCUCCUCUGCCAAGCUUUCUCUCUCUUCUGAUUUCACUUCCCUCGCUGCUUUCAUCACAGUCUCCUCUGGUAAGUUCUUUUCCUCCUCUAACUUCACAUCCUUUGCUGUCGUUACAACAAUCUCCUCCUCUAAGUUCUUUUUCUCCUCUGACUUUACAUCUUUUGCCGCUUUCAUCACAAUCACCUCUGCUAGGUUCCUUUUCUCCUCUGACUUUACAUCCUUUUCCACAUGCAAGUCCCCAUUGUUUAAUAUGUUGAUGAAGUCAACAGGCUUAGCCACC